rnacentral:tRNA from 1 species
GCUCUAAUAGCUUAACCAUAAAGUACCGGUCUUGUAAUCCGGAGAAUGAGGGUUGGACCCCUCUUAGUGCC